rnacentral:misc_RNA from 1 species
AAGUCGUAACAAGGUCUCCGUAGGUGAACCUGCGGAGGGAUCAUUAACAACGUAUCCAACACGUCAAACCAAAACAAUCGUGCUCCUUAUUUCUCCCACACUGGGUUGGGGUAAAUGCAAGCCAUGGGAUAGAUUCAAGUGCUUCGGUACUUGUCUGCUUGCAGUGCCAUUCGGUGCAAACCGAACCAAUUUGGUAGUGGUGUAUUCAAUGCUAUCUUGGUUAUCAGUGCCACCCCGGUUUCGACCCGGAGCCUGGUAGCCGUACUAAUCCUCUAUUUUUAACCCCUUUCAUUUUAUUAUUACUGAUUGUAAUCACUUUCUUAACUGAAUGGUGAUGAUAUACGAAAUGUGAACAACUCUUAGCAACGGAUAUCUUGGUUCUCGUACCGAUGAAGAACGCAG